ACGGAGGAUGCGAGCGUUAUCCGGAUUUAUUGGGUUUAAAGGGUGCGUAGGCGGUUUGAUAAGUCAGUGGUGAAAAAUUUCAGCUUAACUGUAGAGGUGCCGUUGAUACUGUCAGUCUUGAGUAUGGUUGAUGUAGGUGGAAUGUGUAAUGUAGAGGUGAAAUGCUUAGAUAUUACACAGAAUACCGAUUGCGAAGGCAGCUUGCAGGGCCAUUACUGACGCUGAUGCACGAAAGCGUGGGGAUCGAACAG
rnacentral:rRNA from 1 species